GCUCUUGUAGCUCUGGGAGAGCGCAAGACUGAAGAUCUUGAUGUCCCUGGUUCGAUCCCGGGCGCGAGCA
rnacentral:tRNA from 1 species